CCUACGGGAGGCAGCAGUGAGGAAUAUUGGUCAAUGGUCGCGAGACUGAACCAGCCAAGCCGCGUGAGGGAGGAAGGUACUACGGAUUGUAAACUUCUUUUAUAAGGGAAUAAAGUCAGGCACGUGUGCCUGGUUGCAUGUACCUUAUGAAUAAGCAUCGGCUAACUCCGUGCCAGCAGCCGCGGUAAUACGGAGGUUGCAAGCGUUAUCCGGAUUUAUUGGGUGUAAAGGGCGCGUAGGCGGGUUGGCAAGUGAGAGGUGAAAACCCUGGGGUCAACCUCGGGCCUGCCUGUGAUACUGGUAGUCUCGAGUGGGGGAGAGGUAGGCGGAAUGCGGGGUGUAGCGGUGAAAUGCAUAGAUAUCGUGCAGAACACCGAUGGCGAAGGCAGCAUGCCGGCCACCAACUGACGCUGAGGCACGAAAGCGUGGGGAGCGAACAGGAUUAGAUACCCUAGUAGUC
rnacentral:rRNA from 1 species